rnacentral:sRNA from 1 species
ACCAAAAGAAAGAAAGAAAGAUAGGAAAUCCAACUGCAGGCCACUGUAAAGUUCCUAGAAAAACACCAUACAUGUGUUAAGGAUUCUACAAGGCUAUUGACUGACUGGAACUUUGUAAUGGUGAGAAGUUGGGAUGCUGCUCAUCUCGAGCCAAGUGAUUCUAAGUCAUUUUUAAUCCCUUUGUGAGCCAUUCACUGCCCAAGUCUGUAUCUGUCCUUACAUCCUCGGUUGGGGUAAACUUUUCAAAACUCUAGUAGCUGGGCAGGUGACCAGCUUCUGCCACCCUCAAAGCUAAGAAUGCCAUCUGCAGCAUCUGACGUCUGCUGCAGAAAUGUCCUCUCUCUGCUGCUCUUCCUGCUGACUAUUUCUACCCGUUUGUUUUUAAGCCUUGAUUUACAACCGUCUUAAUUACUUGUGUAAUUGUAAACACUCACAAAAUUGAUUCCGCAUUAGAAUGUGUUAUUUGACACAAAGCUGAAUUCUUGUUCCUGGACUAUCGUCAUUCACACUCGGCUUAAGAAUAGACCCUUAUGCCCUCUGAGGUGGCAUCUGUCUUUUACAGCAAACAGAAUAGUAUCCUUGUAUUGAUGACAUAGCCAAGACGAGGGUACAUCAGAGACAGAAAUGAAGGAAGGGGAUGGCUCCAGUGGGUGAAGGCACAAGAGUGGGAUUCUCAGUUUGAAUAGUAUAGGAUCCAUAGGUGUUACUCAAAGGCAACCAAUGAAGAAGUGUGAUAUAAAUGAAUGAGUCCAGGGGUUGGGGAUUUAGCUCAGCGGUAGAGCGCUUGCCUAGCAAGCGCAAGACCCUGGGUUCGGUCCCCAGUUCCGAAAAAAAGAAAGAAAAAAAUGAAUGAGUCCAUUAGUUUAAUUAUUCAUUAGUUAAUAAGUUAUGGUGAUGAAUGGUGUGUGUACACGCAUGCGUGCGUGUGCAUGCUAAACCUCUAAACCGCAGGCUUUGGACAUGCCAGGCAAACCCUCUUCUAAUCAAGCUACGUCUCCAGACAGAAAGUUAUUUUUAAGAAUAGAAACAAGACUAGAAUGGCAGGACUGUGCCCCAGAGGGCAUUUCCCUUAGGAUAUAGAGAAGUCAGCACCCCAUGGCUAAUUCAGGGCUUCGUGCCCUGAUGAGAUUUGGUCCUUUGCCAAAGGUUUCUGGAAGAACACUCAUAUGUACUUGCAUUUCUCUCAGCUGUAAGUCAUUGCUAGGCAUUUUCUGGACCUGUUUUACAGUAAUCACAACCACGGGAUUCAUGGCUUCACCUACUGUAUAGCUUUUGGUCUGUGUAGCCACGUUUACGUUUUCUGUCAAGGGCACUUUGGUCUUCUCUUGCCUGUUCAGUGAGUGUGGGAAAGUGAACUUGGCUUUAGAUUCAGACGUCCCGACCGGCUGGUGGGGCUGGCCUCAGCCUCAUGGCUGUUCUCUGAAGGGCUGUAGUCAGGUCUGCUAGAAUACAGGCUGUAACCAGUCGGCUACGUAGGUAAGGGACUUGGGGCAUCAUAUUCAUGGCUUUUCUUCUAGUAGCUACCAAACACACUUAAAAAAAAACAACAGGAAAGAGAGGUUUUGUUUGGGGUCACAGUUUGAGGUGAUACGGUUCCCUGUGGCAGGGGAAGGCAUGUGGAGGGAACAUGGAAACAGAUGGUCACGUCCCAUAGUCAGGUAGCGGAAAGAUGAGCUGGUGUUCAGACUGCUUCCUACUUCCGUUUCACUCUGUCAUCCCUAUCCUACCCCAGUCCGUGGAGGAUCCUCCCACAUUCAGAGCAGAUCUUUACCUAAGCUAAUCCUCAGCAAUCCUUCCGAAAUGCUCUCAUGGGAGCACCCAGAAGUGUGUCUCCUGGGUAAUUUCAACCCCAGCCAAGCAGACAAUGGAGAUCAAGCAGGACCCAUGUAGCCAAUCCGUAGGUCUGACCACACCCUCCAGCAGGGCAGUGAACCCCAGUUCAUCAUUUCAGCACACCCAUCCCUAUUGGCCAGGAGACCUUAAGUAAGCUUCUCUCCCCUCUCCCUUAUCCACUUUCCUAUCUGACCACUACCCUACAUCUAGUAGGCAGUAGCCCCUUCUGCACCCAUUACCAAGAGUCUCACUAAGACCCGGCCACCCCUAGGGCUGCUCGGUCACUGCGCAUGCUCACAGUUUACCCCUUCUGGGACGGUAGCGGCUCAUUUCGUGCUUUGUCCUGACUCCACUUUCCCAGAUUUUUGGGCACCUGUUUUCUUCUCUUGUUCCCAACCUAGCUCACCUCCUGGCAUUUCCAGAACACAUUUGCUAUUGACUUUCCCUGCCUAGUCUCAACACAUGACCUUGUUCCAACUCCAAAUCCUCACUCGGUCCUCUGACUCUAGCCACCCACCACUGUUUCUGUAUAGACCAGCAGGUGACCCACUGCAGUACGCUGUAGCCAAUAGGAGAAAUGGGACAUCAAGGCCAUGGCUUGUUAGAGAUUUUGCUUCUGCGUGUGUGGUAGUCCAUCUUUGAAGGAGGUCAGGGAUAAAGUCUAGGCAGGAACUUAAGCAGAACCCAUGGAAGAAUGCUGCUUGAUGUGCCAGACGUCGCCACCCACCAACACCCCACCCCCUACCUGCCGCUCCCCGACACACCCUGUGGGCUGAGCCUGGCCACCUCAGUCGUUAAUUAAGAAAAUGUCCUAUAGACAGCCUGGAUGGAGACAUUUUUCUUAACUGAGAUUGCUCUUCCGGGAUAACUCUAGCUUGUGUCAAGUUGACAGAAGAAAAAGAAAAAAAGACCCUACUCAGGUCAGCAUGUUAUAUUAAUAAGCUGUUUGCUCUCCUAGAAACUCAGUUUUGUUUCCGUACUGUAGAUUAGGCUGCUGAGGCCUGGAGAUGUCCAGUAACUUGCCAAGGAUCAGCCAACCAGAGUUCUGAAUGCAAACCCCAGAGUCCAGGGUCUUCGCUGCUACAGCCCCUCCCUAAGAGUUGCUGAGCACCUGGGCCUGAAGAGAAACCUGAAUUCCUCUGGCUUGAUCUCCUUCCUGAUACCUGGUAAAAGGAGGCCAUCUAUGUAUGGGAAGGCCUGGGUUGUUAAGUGGUGGUUAUCUACGUCAGUUUCCUAUGACAAAGGACAGCAUGCCGUUGGCUAAAAAUGACAGAAACUCAUUGUCUCUGAGUCAUUGAAGGUCAGAUCCAAAGUCAGGGUGUUGUUCCCUCCAGACCUCCAGGGAGGAAUUUGUCUGGGGAGGGUGGUGUGUGUGUGUGUGGGGGGGGGUUGUUCGGGAUUGUUUUGGUUUUUUAUCUUUUAGGGUAGCCUCAGUUAUUCUUUGGCUCUCAGCCACAAGCUCCCAUCUGUUUGUCUAGGGGCUCAGGCCUUUUCUUCCUCUUUUUAUGGAGGCAACACCCAGAUUCCAGCUAGAUUCCAGCUGCCUCAGUUCACUGUGGGCCUCAUCUUGGUCCAAGUGCACCUGAAAAUUCUGAAUUUCCAAAUACAACCUCACUCACAAGUACUGAGGCCCAGGGCUUCUGCACAUCUUUCCAGGAUCUACACCUACACAGUUCUCCAUACGUCUACGGAGUUCCUCUUGUGGAACAUUGCCCAUGUGUGUUGCUCUCUGUAUGUGGAAACCAAUCAUAAGACUGUGUAUCGAGGCAACUUUCAGGACAGAGACUACUUUCUGUAUUCCAAAACCUAGAAGGUCUUCAAAAGAACUUAUAUAUGUCUUUGACUUAAACUUAUUAUGUCAUCUCCAUAUCCAAUUAUGGAGUCAGAGAAGGAGAGAUGGUUCAGCGGUUAAGAGCACUUGCUGUUUGUUCGAAGACCUAAGUUCGAUUCCCAGCAUCCACAUGAUGGUUCACAACCAUCUGUAACUUCAGUUCUCUACACUCUCUCUCACCUCCAGAGGCACUGGGAAUGUAUGUGGUUUACAGGGAUAUAUGCAGAAAAAAUGCUCAUACCUGUAAAAAUAAAAUAAUUCUAAAAAAAUCAAAAACAUAUUAUUUUCACCCCAGUGAUAUUUAUAAUCUUUGUUUUUAACCCAUUAAAAUUAAUUUAAAGACAGAGAUAAGCAUUUUAGACAGAUAGUCAUAACUUUCUUUCAAGAUUUUAUUUUCCCCUGUGAAACAAACUAAUCUUAUUCCGCAAGUGAAGGGGACACUUAAGGGCUCUUUGGAAAGUCAGUUGGGUUGGACGGCCUUUUGCUAGGGCAAAGACGUGGAGUGUUUUCUCGAGGUGGACACAAGAGAAAGGCCGUUUUGCUGAGGCAGACUCGUGAGGGAAUGUGUCGCUGAAGCAGACACAGGUGAAAGGAUGCUCUGCUAAAGCAAACUCGUGAAAGGACUCGAUAAAGAAUGCUUUGCUAAUGGCACUCGUGCGUUGCUCUGCCUUACAUUGCUCAGUUGAGCUCCUUUUACUGGGACUCCAUAGAGAGAAAUGCACCAAAAAGCUUCUGGCAGUGUGCGACAGCCUCUUACAGCUUCUGCGAACUCACACUGAUGGGCAGAGUGAAGUCAGCUGACAUAGGCUCAUGCGCUGAGGCAAGACCCACGGAAGACACACGAUGUUUGGAGGGCAUAUAAAUAGAACUCAACUAACAGACUGUGAGAGGGGCUUGGUUUACUGCAUAGCUAACCGCUUCUUGGUCUCAAGUCUUCCCUGAUCUUUGCUUUGUUGAGAGAGACACAGCCAAGAACUGUUCCUGGCAUCCCUGCUGGUCUGUAGCCCUCCUGCUGCUGACUCAUGCUGACUCAUGCCUGUUCUGCUGAGGCCUGGCCUUCCCUGCUAGGUCACACCACCACUGCUGCUCUCAACACUACCAAACUGGACUGCUGGUAUAUCCGUGAAGUGUUUGGCCUUGGUGGUACUCCUGGAGGUGCCCCUCCCACAUUCAUCCCUGUGAGCAGCUCAUACCUCUCUCUCCUUUCUUCCCUUGUCACAUCCCUGGGAAGGCUGACAGAGUCUCUGGGUAAGUCACUUCUUGUCACACACACAGUUCUGGCAAACCAAUUUCAAAUCCAUUAGCAUAAAGUUGCCCUUGAUAUACUCUGUAAUUCCUUGUUCUGCCUACGAAGGAAUAUGUGGAAGCUGGUCACUUCUGGAGAGAUGAGGCAGCCAGGUAUUGACUGCAGAGAGACCUGAGGGACCGGAGACUGCUAACAUUCUGGGUCUUGGGUGUGGUUUGUACAGGUGGCUCUGUGGAAGCUCAGCAAACGGCAUAUAAGCAAGCAUCUCAUGUGACACGUGUGUCCCUUAUAUGGCACAUGUGUUAUGACUAGUGGCUUUGGGUUUGCUGUCCUUGUUGUUUUCAGUUUUGUUUUGUUGCUGUUUUUUGUUUUUAGGUGAAGGGAAUGUCUACAUUAGCGUUUGCUCUUCUGAACAAAGAGAGCACAGAAAGACGGUUCUCUCUCGUCCACUUUGCUGUCUUCCGGAGGUCCUUACACUAUGGCCUGGUGGGCUCCCUGGCAGCUGUGUCCUUGCCUCUCUCUCCCCACCCCUUUGGAAACCUGGCUCUGUGAGCUGCCUAUUUAUUUACUUCUCUGGAAUUUCCGUCGCGAUGGUUCAGUGGGGCGGUUGCCGGGGGCCUGGGGCUGUUGGGCGUAUCAUCGGUACAAUAAUGUGUAUGUGUGUCCCCAGCUUUGCAAAAUUUAUAUGAAGGGAAUUAAAUCCAAACUAACUGCCGAGAUCAUCGUCCUUACCCUUGGCUUUUCCAGGGCCCUUGGGCAGAACCCUAGCCUGGGCAUAUUCCAAGAAGGAUAAAUUUAAUAUUAAUGAUAAUAAUACUUUGCACUUGGUCUAGUGAAAAUAUUUUGAAUGCAGCAAAGGCUGGGAAGCGAAUGUUUGCUUGGUGCGGUGGGUCAGGAAGCGCCUCUGCUUGUUUAUUAUGGUAGGGCUUUGUGUACAGAAACUAUUUUUCUCCUUUCUCACCGCCCGGGGCCAUAUUUCUUGUUGCUCGCUACAUCCAGAGUUUUACAGGAAGCCGCCACUCAUAUUUAAAUGGCAUGUUUUUAAAACAUGUCUGUAAAUAGCUGAAGACAGAUCGGCCGUAGGUGUGGCGUCGUCUCCUAUCCUCUCUGUCGGGAUUCUUUGUUCCACUCGAAAUCACAUCUCCGUCCCUGCGAGAUGGGGGAACUUUAAACUCAGCAUAGCCAGGAAGUUGGGAGACCCACGCUGUGAAUCGGUGGUGGCUGGAAGAUUCCCAGAGGAAGAGGGAGGAGUCUCUUCUCAACUGGAGGUUGAAGCAGUAGCCAGAGAUGUCAUACAAAUGCACAAAGAGCUUUCUUCGAGAUCCUCUGCUUCCUCCAGAGCCUGCCUCCCUGAAGUGAUUCUAUGGCAACAACAAAACAGCCUCGCCAGGAUGGAGGUGAGCUGCACACCUCCAUCUCCCAGCAGCAGGCCCCUUGGCUGCAUGCUUUGCCGUCCGUCUCCAGCCCUGACAGUGGCAUGAUGUAUUAUUCAGGCUAGAAUCACCCAAGGGGCACCCUCUCCAGAUCUAACUCACUCUAAUUCUGGAUGCUGCUCCACCUUGGGCCCCUGCUGCAUUUGAAGGCACAGAUCUUGCUCCAGCAAAUUUGGCUAAGACUCAUCCAGGGUGACUGACAUAUUGCACCUGUAAACCAGAGAACUUUAAGUGUGUGCGCCCAGGAACAUGGCAGUGAACCUGCUUAGAUGGUCUUUAGGAGGAAAGCUAGUUAUGUGUAUAGUCUACAGAAGCUUAACCCCUUGUUAAAAAAAGAGUAGGGGAGUACAGUUUAAGAUGGUGUAUUUUUCACACCUCUCCUAUAGUUUGGAUCUGGACUAUCCCUUGGGGGCCUGUGUGUAAAGUCUUGGUUUCCAUAUUGAUGUUAUCAGGAGGCAGUGGGAGCUUUAGGAAAUGAAGCCUGUUCAGUUUGUAUAAUGUUACCUGCAUGUAUGUUACCUGCAUGUAUGUUAAGCAAUUGGUGUGCUCUUCUCUGGAGACGACUGUUUUUCCCACUCCCAGCAUUCCUUAAUUGCUUGAAGGUUAUAAUAUAUGUAACAUAUUAUAAUAUAUAUCAUUUUAUAUUGCGCCAUUAUUAUAUACUUAUAUAUUAUAUAUUUGUGUUAUUAUGUUAUAUAAUAAUAAAUUAAUUACAUAUAUUAUAUAUAUUAACAAUCAAUUACAAAGACAGGUAUAUAGGAGGACUUGGAAGACAGAAAGGGAAAGGGAAAAUAAUAUAUCUCAGAAAAUAAAAAAUAAAAAUUUUAAACUAUAUAAAUGAGGGGAGUGAUGCCUAAUAUGGAGUCUUUUGUCGCUGGGCGAUGCGUUGGACCCUCCUGUGAGACCUCAGCCUCCUCCUCCUUUCUUUGCUCCAUUGGCCACUACAAGCCCAGAGCUGCAAUGCCAACCAAGAUCUCCAAGACUGCGAGCCAACAUACACUUUUCCUCUUUGCAAACUGGCUUCAUAAGGUGACAGAAAACUGAUGGAUACUUUCUAAGUCUCAGUAAGAAUGAAGAAAAUGGUGAGCAGGGCCAAGCACCUGCCUAGCAUGCGUGGGGUUCCAAGUUCAAGCCCUGGCACAGCAAGAAAAUCGAAGCACAGUCUCUGAUCUGCCUUGCAGCAAUGAGACCCUCACUUCAAGGCCUUGCCCUGUAGCCUUAAGAGAAGAACAAUGAAGGAUCCACCAUGGCCCAGCAUGGACGUUGUUCAGUCACAUUUUCACUGAUGUUCAUGGUUUCUUCAUACCCAUGUAAUGAGACCUUCAUAAAGUCAAAUGGGGCAGUGUAUAGAGACCAUCUAGGGGUUCCUGAUGGGGUUCUCAAAGAGAGCGUGAGAGUGCAGCAACCCUUCUCCCAGACCUUAACUGCUUUAUCUGUAUCCUUUAAAAUAAAAGUUGUAGUUCUC